UACGAAGGGGGCUAGCGUUGCUCGGAAUCACUGGGCGUAAAGCGCACGUAGGCGGAUUGCUAAGUCAGGGGUGAAAUCCUGGAGCUCAACUCCAGAACUGCCUUUGAUACUGAGGAUCUUGAGUCCGGGAGAGGUGAGUGGAACUGCGAGUGUAGAGGUGAAAUUCGUAGAUAUUCGCAAGAACACCAGUGGCGAAGGCGGCUCACUGGCCCGGUACUGACGCUGAGGCACGAAAGCGUGGGGAGCAAACAGG
rnacentral:rRNA from 1 species